rnacentral:rRNA from 1 species
GUGAGGAAUAUUGGUCAAUGGGCGAGAGCCUGAACCAGCCAAGUCGCGUGAAGGAUGAAGGUUUUAUGAAUUGUAAACUUCUUUUGCAGGGGAAUAAAGUACGGUACGUGUACCGUUUUGUAUGUACUCUGCGAAUAAGGAUCGGCUAACUCCGUGCCAGCAGCCGCGGUAAUACGGAGGAUCCAAGCGUUAUCCGGAUUUAUUGGGUUUAAAGGGUGCGCAGGCGGGUUGAUAAGUCAGCGGUGAAAGUUUGCAGCUUAACUGUAAAAUUGCCGUUGAAACUGUCGAUCUUGAGUGAAAAGGAGGUAAGCGGAAUGUGUUGUGUAGCGGUGAAAUGCUUAGAUAUAACACAGAACACCGAUUGCGAAGGCAGCUUACUGGGAUGCAACUGACGCUCAUGCACGAAAGCGUGGGGAUCAAACAGGAUUAGAUACCCUGGUAGUCC